rnacentral:rRNA from 1 species
ACGGAAUAGAUACCCUGGUAGUCCACGCCCUAAACGAUGUCUACUAGUUGUCGGGUCUUAAUUGACUUGGUAAACGCAGCUAAACGCGUGAAGUAGACCGCCUGGGGAGUACGGUCGCAAGAUUAAAACUCAAAGGAAUUGACGGGGACCCGCACAAGCGGUGGAUGAUGUGGAUUAAUUCGAUGCAACGCGAAAAACCUUACCUACCCUUGACAUGGAUGGAAUCCCUGAGAGAUUGGGGAGUGCUCGAAAGAGAACCAUUACACAGGUGCUGCAUGGCUGUCGUCAGCUCGUGUCGUGAGAUGUUGGGUUAAGUCCCGCAACGAGCGCAACCCUUGUCAUUAGUUGCUACGAAAGGGCACUCUAAUGAGACUGCCGGUGACAAACCGGAGGAAGGUGGGGAUGACGUCAAGUCCUCAUGGCCCUUAUGGGUAGGGCUUCACACGUCAUACAAUGGUACAUACAGAGGGCCGCCAACCCGCGAGGGGUAGCUAAUCCCAGAAAGUGUAUCGUAGUCCGGAUUGUAGUCUGCAACUCG